UGGGGAAUUUUGGACAAUGGGCGAAAGCCUGAUCCAGCAAUGCCGCGUGUGUGAAGAAGGCCUUCGGGUUGUAAAGCACUUUUGUCCGGAAAGAAAUCCUUGGCUCUAAUACAGUCGGGGGAUGACGGUACCGGAAGAAUAAGCACCGGCUAACUACGUGCCAGCAGCCGCGGUAAUACGUAGGGUGCAAGCGUUAAUCGGAAUUACUGGGCGUAAAGCGUGCGCAGGCGGUUUGCUAAGACCGAUGUGAAAUCCCCGGGCUCAACCUGGGAACUGCAUUGGUGACUGGCAGGCUAGAGUAUGGCAGAGGGGGGUAGAAUUCCACGUGUAGCAGUGAAAUGCGUAGAGAUGUGGAGGAAUACCGAUGGCGAAGGCAGCCCCCUGGGCCAAUACUGACGCUCAUGCACGAAAGCGUGGGGAGCAAACAGGAUUAGAUACCCUGGUAGUCCACGCCCUAAACGAUGUCAACUAGUUGUUGGGGGAUUUCAUUUCCUUAGUAACGUAGCUAACGCGUGAAGUUGACCGCCUGGGGAGUACGGUCGCAAGAUUAAAACUCAAAGGAAUUGACGGGGUCGUA
rnacentral:rRNA from 1 species